AUAGCGUAUAUUAAAGUUGUUGCGGUUAAAAAGCUCGUAGUUGAAUCUGUGUGUCACGCUGUCGGUUCACCGCUCGCGGUGUCUAACUGGCAUGACGUGGUACGUCCUACCGGUGGGCUUAGCUCCCUCGUGGGGCGGCCCGACUAAUAUCCCAUCGCGGUGCUCUUCACCGGGUGUCGAGGUGGGCCGGUACGUUUACUUUGAACAAAUUAGAGUGCUCAAAGCAGGCUAUCCUCGCCUGAAUACUGCGUGCAUGGAAUAAUGGAAUAGGACCUCGGUUCUAUUUUGUUGGUUUUCGGAACCCCGAGGUAAUGAUUAAUAGGGACAGAUGGGGGCAUUCGUAUUGCGACGUUAGAGGUGAAAUUCUUGGAUCGUCGCAAGACGGACAGAAGCGAAAGCAUUUGCCAAAAAUGUUUUCAUUAAUCAAGAACGAAAGUUAGAGGUUCGAAGGCGAUCAGAUACCGCCCUAGUUCUAACCAUAAACGAUGCCAGCUAGCGAUCCGCCGAAGUUCCUCCGAUGACUCGGCGGGCAGCUUCCGGGAAACCAAAGCUUUUGGGUUCCGGGGGAAGUAUGGUUGCAAAGCUGAAACUUAAAGGAAUUGACGGAAGGGCACCACCAGGAGUGGAGCCUGCGGCUUAAUUUGACUCAACACGGGAAACCUCACCAGGCCCGGACACCGGAAGGAUUGACAGAUUGAUAGCUCUUUCUUGAUUCGGUGGGUGGUGGUGCAUGGCCGUUCUUAGUUGGUGGAGCGAUUUGUCUGGUUAAUUCCGAUAACGAACGAGACUCUAGCCUGCUAAAUAGGCGUACCUUCUGGUAUCUCGAAGGCCCCCGGCCUUCCGGCCGGUGGGUUUUUACUACCGACGUACAAACAAAUCUUCUUAGAGGGACAGGCGGCUUCUAGCCGCACGAGAUUG
rnacentral:rRNA from 1 species